GACGAACGCUGGCGGCGUGCUUAACACAUGCAAGUCGAACGGAAAGGCCCUGCUUUUGUGGGGUGCUCGAGUGGCGAACGGGUGAGUAACACGUGAGUAACCUGCCCUUGACUUUGGGAUAACUUCAGGAAACUGGGGCUAAUACCGGAUAGGAGCUCCUGCUGCAUGGUGGGGGUCGGACAGUUUCGGCGGUUGGGGAUGGACUCGCGGCUUAUCAGCUUGUUGGUGGGGUAGUGGCUUACCAAGGCUUUGACGGGUAGCCGGCCUGAGAGGUUGGACGGGCACAUGGGGACUGAGAGACGGACCAGAGUCAUACGGGAGGCAGCGGGGGGGAGUAUUGCACAAUGGGCGGAAGCCUGAUGCAGCAACGCCGCGUGCGGGAUGACGGCCUUCGGGUUGUAAACCGCUUUCGCCUGUGACGAAGCGGGAGUGACGGUAAUAGGUAAAGAAGCACCGGCUAACUACGUG
rnacentral:rRNA from 1 species